GAACAUGAAGAUGUUGAUGAUGAUGGUGAUAAAGAUUAUCAACCUUUGAGUGAGAAAAGACUAUCUACAAAAGAAAAGAAGAUUGGAGGAGACUAUAGAAUAUAACAAGUUGAGUCUUCUUCAAAUAAAAGGAGAUAUCCUUUGAGAGAUAGAAAAAAAUAUGGAAAAUGGUAGAAGAAUCACAUCUUUCCUCAAAUAAGUGAAGAACAUGCCAAUGUUACACUUCUUGUUGAUCCGUUGUCGUAAUAUAUGAAGUCUUGCUUGAGAAUGCUCUGGACAUUUGGCUGUGGAAGGUAGAAUGGAAAUUGCAAGAACAAAAUCUUAAUUCUAAUAGAACACUAAUAAUGCUAAACAAGGUUUAAUGAAAUUCAAAGAAACCUCAAAGAAAUUCCAAAGAAACAGUAAGAAAACUUAAAGAAAUAUUAAAAUGAUUACAAAAAUAUCUCAAAUACAUCUUAAUUCAAUCUUAAUUUAAUCCUAGUUGAAAUCUUACUUCAUUCAAACUUUAGGCCAAAAACUAACUAAAUCUUAUAUCCUAAAUGAACUCAAAUAAAAUCCUAAAUCCUAAAUCAAAUCCUAAUCAAAUCCAAAAUCCUAAAUCAAAUCCUAACUAAAUCUUAAAUCCUAAUCCUAAAUCAAAUCCUAAAUAAAUCCUAAUUCUAAUCCUAAAUCCUAAACUAAACUCUAAUCAAAUCCUAAACCAAACUCUAACCAAAUCCUAAACAAAUCCUAAAUCAAAUCCUAAAUCCUAAAUCAAAUCCUAACUAAAACUUAAAUCAAAUCGUAAACCUUAAAUCAAAUCCUAACCAAAUCCUAAAUCCUAAACCAAAUCCUAAAGCAAAUCCUAAACAAAUCCUAAAUCAAAUUCCAAUCAAAUCCUAAAUCCCAAAUCAAACCCUAACCAAAUUCUAAAUCCUAAACCAAACCCUAACCAAAUCCUAAUA
rnacentral:lncRNA from 1 species